rnacentral:lncRNA from 1 species
UGAGUAAAUUUUGAAUAAAUAUUAACAAUUCUGGUGAGGACCACGAUAAAGUUACUAGCAUGCCUAAUGCAAGUAGAGACCUCUCGGCGUUGCUUUUUAGUUUAUUUGGUUAGUUUUGUGCAAAUUAACCUCUUAACAGGUGUUGGAUUUUUUUUUAGAUGGAGAGCAUAUUAUUUGUGAAACAAGACAAGAAGAUAGACCCACUGAAUUUAAGCUAAGUUUACGUGGCCAUGUCAGAAUGGGAGAAUAGAAAGGCAGAGGCAUUCAACGGGCAACAAAGUUGUCUGUGCCAAGGGACAUGGGCCAUGUGUCUGUGCACGGCAAUGGAGGUUACAGAAGCAAAGCGUUGCUUCCUCGGCAUGAUGAAGGUGCAUCCUAGGAUGCACAUCCAGUUUUGUAAUAAGGAUAGAGGUUAUAUAGACUUUACCUUGUGGAAACUGAAGCAGGUUGUGUAGAUGUAUUGUUGUCGAGUGUAGUCCUUGUACAACUGCAUUAGUGUUCUCCUUUCAUGUGCAAUGCAAAAUAGCAAGCAUGGUUAUGCACCAGAUCGACUAUGACGGUGACCGUGUUCGCACAGGUGUGGGAGGAGGAAGGGAAGCAUGUGGACUUGGGUGGAUUGGACACGGCAUAGCUGGGGUGAUGAAUGCGCGAGCGUGAGGCGAGCUCAGGUGAGCCGGCGAUGGCGGGAUGUGGCAGAGGAGGGAGCGGAGGGAGGUGCUUUUGAAUAUAAUUGUUUCUUCUCAAAUAACAAUUUCUACAUUUAUAUAUUUUGUACCUGAAUAUUGGUGGCAACCUUUUUUGGAUGGGAAUUUUUUUAUUAUUAUUUUCAAG